ACUCCCCCUUCCUGUCUUAAAGAUCCAUAAAAGCAGGGGCGCUUCCUGUUCUCCCUCUCUGUGCUCCCUGCCUCCCUGCUUACCAGCAUCACCAUCCUGUUCCUGAUUGUCUUUGUUUCACCACGUGGCCAUCACCCACGAGGUGGACAAACCCACCGACAUAAAAAUCUGGUCAUAUUCUAAUCCCAAAAUGCACCAGAUACACAACCAGACCAUCGUCAAAAAAGUUCAAGGAACUACUAUGUAUGGUCCCAUAAGAUUAGUAAAAUCAGAGUAUGACUUCCACAACAGCCUGAAGAGUAUCUAGGAGAGAAAAAUUGAGGCUGCAUUUGCAAGAGGAAAGGUCUCCAAACCCCACAGUUGUGCUGGUGGAUGGCAGGAUGAAUCUCUUCAUGCAUUCAGGCUUCUGCUGCUCAUUUAACACUGCUCCCACUGACAAAGAAAUAGCUACAGAAAACAACCACAAGAUAUUUUUCAGUAUUUCCUGAAUGAAGAAUUCAACUGAAUUUAUGCUUUUCCCUUCCAACAGGAAAGUAUAUUAGUGCUUUUCCAUCUGAUGCACUACCAAGCAUACAAACAUUGAGUCCAGUCACAUUAACUACAGCUAUCUGUCCCAAACCCAGGGUGGUUUUUGGAAGAAGCAGGUAAGUGUUUGUCCAACACCUAGGCAGAAAUAUUUGUCCAAUUACUAGGGUGUUGAUUGAGGAUUUGAUAACCUCACAUCAAUUGUCUGUAUGACUCUAUGCUUCAGUUACACAGAAUAUAAAUAUGAGCCACAGUCUCAUAUUAAAAACCAUCAACUCUAAAGCUUCACGCAGAGCUGUUCUUUUUCACUGUAUAAUAUGUAUGUAACAUGAGACAUAACCUUUGAAGAUCACUUCAAUUU